CAAGCUCAUUUAUUCUAAUGUCUCAGGGGCAGUAAUGAUGAUACUCGAGUAACAUUACUGAACUGUGAUAAAUUAUAUAAUAUUUUUACGAUUUUAUUUGAAUAUAAAUUUUAAUUUAACUUUUAGAAGUAUCGUGUAAAAAUAUACUCAUCUGGUAAAUAAAUUUUAAAUGAUUUAAAUAGUUUAUGUGAAGAAAAAAGUAAAAUUCAACAUGAACCAAUUAAUGCAACCACAUGAUUCAAAAGCCAUUAGGAAACAAGUAAGAAAGAUUGGAAUAAUAACAAAGAUUUGAGCAAAGCAGUUCAAUUAUUACCCAGUGAUAUUGAAAUUGUUGAAAUUAAUUCUAACAAAAGCGAUAAAGAAACGCAAACAUAUCCAAUGUCAAACGCUCUAGAAUUAGACCAGCUGAAGGUUGCUUACAAAAACGCUAUCAUGAAAAUUGAACAGCUUCAAACUCAACUUGAUCAGAUAACAAUUGAACAAUGUAAUCAAGAUGUAAACAAAAAACAUUUAGUGAGGGUUAUACAUAUAAAAUAUUUUUUUUAUAGGAAAAAAAUGUGGAUAUAUUCUUAAUAAUGUCAUAUUACGCAAAUUAAAUACAUUACAAAUUUUAAUUAAUAAUAUAAACAAUCUGCUUGAUUUUAAUUAAUAUUAUUAUAUAUUUAAGUUACUUAAACAUCAUUUUGUAUAUAAAACAAUUAUCUUUUCUUACAUUGGUAGUUAUCAUUUUUAUAAAAAUGU